AACUUUUACGAAUCCGGGCUGAGAUUUCGUCAGACACCAACCUAUUAUGACUGAUCAGACUCCCAAGAUAAAUGAAGUU
rnacentral:pre_miRNA from 1 species